GGUGGCGGUCAUACCGGAGUUGUCCCACCUGUUCCCAUCCCGAACACAGUAGUGAAAUACUCCAAGGCCGAUGAUAGUAGGUUUUCCUGCGAAAGUAGGUCACUGCCACCA
rnacentral:rRNA from 1 species